AUGUGCCAGCGACGGCGAGCCGGAAGCAGCGACAUCAGGAAGCAAGUUCCCAAGAACCACUUGCUGCUAUUAGGCAUGGCAGAAGGCAUUGUUGCCUCACUGAUGGUCAAGCUGGGAGUGGCCUUAGCAACUCAGGCGGCAACAUUUGGUGGAUCAUGCAUCGCUCAUGAAGUGACUGCUUUGAGAAGGCUCUUCAGUGAGAUGGAGGAGAUCAAGGAUGAGUUGGAGUGCAUGCAGACCUUCCUGCAGGUUUCUGAGAGGCUCAGAGACCACGACGAAACAAUGGCAACAUUUGUUAGGAAGGUACGGACGCUUUCCUUUGGCAUCGAGGAUGUUGUUGAUGAGUUCAGCUGCAAGUUCUGCGACGAUCAUGGUGGAGCCGCUUCCAGGGCAAUACGGAAGCUCAGGCGCAUCAGGACAUGGCACCGCCUUGCCUUUCGGCUUGUGCGAAUCAAAGCCAGCCUAAAAAUUGCCGUAGAAAGAGUUAAGAUGUUCAACACAGAAGGAAUUAGCAAGGUACAACAACCUCAAGCACACGAUAAAAAAUUGGGACCAUCAGAAUCUGCUGGCCUUGUAACAGCUGAUUGUCCGGUUGGGAUUGAGCAUAACAGGGACUUGCUGAUUGGAUGGCUAACAGAUGAGAUCCAGCAGAACAUGGUGAUCUCUGUGUGGGGCAUGGGUGGAGUCGGAAAGACUACUCUUGUAACUCAUGUUUACAACAUUAUCAAGCCAAGAUUUGAGAGACAUGCAUUCAUUACAGUUUCACAACACUGUAGGUCCGUCGAUUUGCUAAGACAGAUACUGAAAAAGUUCUGCAAGAAGGAUCACAAUGUAACACUAUCUGAAGGCAUCGAUUCCAUGGAUCGUGAAAGCCUAGUCGAGAUUAUGCAAAGUUAUCUUCAUAGUAGAAGAUAUGUCCUCGUCUUGGAUGAUCUAUGGGAUGCUAAUGUUUGGUUCGAAAUCCGUGAUGCGUUUGCUGGUGGAGAUGGUUCCAGUAAGAUAGUUCUUACUUCAAGGAUCCAUGACGUCGCAUCACUAGCAAAAGACAAGUACAUAAUUGAUCUGAGACCAUUAGAAAGCCAGCAUUCAUGGGAUUUGUUCUGCAAAGAAGCAUUUUGGAAAAUGGAAGAUAAAAGUUGUCCUCGAGAACUGGAAGCAUCGGGUCAGAAAAUUGUAGAGAGUUGUGACGGCUUGCCAAUAGCUAUUGUGUGCAUAGGACGCCUCUUGUCCUUCAGAAGUCAGACUAGUUAUGAAUGGGAGAAAGUGCAGAAAGAUAUUGAGUUGCAGCUAACGAGCAAUUCGAUCCUUGAUAUGAACCUCAUUUUGAAGGUUAGCUUGGAGGAUCUGUCACACAAUUUAAAGAACUGUUUCCUGUUUUGUAGUUUGUUUCCAGAGGUCUACAGGAUCAGAAGGAAGAAGCUGAUCAGAUUCUGGGUAUCAGAGGGAUUCAUUAAAAGAACUGAAACAAGAACAGAGGAAGAGAUUGCCGAGGAUUACCUGAAUGAGCUAGUUAACCGGUGCCUGCUACAAGUUACUAAGAGAAACGAAUUUGGACGAGUUCGUGAAUGUCGAAUGCAUGACGUGGUCCGUGUUCUUGCUCUAUCAAAAUCGAAAGAGGAGAUGUUUUCUGCUGUUUAUGACUGCUCAAAAACAACCUCUUUACUAGGCAAAGCACGAAGGAUGUCAAUUCAGAGUGCUGAUUCUACGCUUUCAAGUCAUGAGAUGACACAUGUGCGAUCGUUACUUGUAUUUGACAAAUGUGUCCCUAUAGAUGCUCUAAGUGCUUCACUCACAUCACUCAAGUUGUUGUCAGUUUUGGACCUACAUGGCAUUCCAAUAAAAAGUAUACCUGUUCAAGUGUUCAGCCUGUUUAAUCUGCGAUUUUUGGGUUUGCGAGGAACUGAAAUUGAUGUGCUUCCUAAAGAAAUAAAAAAAUUACAGAACUUAGAAGUACUGGAUGCUUACAACACAAAAAUUACAUCACUGCCAGAAGAAAUGACAAGGCUCCGGAAGUUGAGGCAUCUCUUUGCAUCUGGAAUCCGAGAUGAUACUGACAGCAAUGUCGUGGUAUCCACUGGUGUAGCUGCUCCUCGAGGCAAAUGGCAUUCCACUAGUCUGCAGACCCUUCAAAAUUUUAAAGCAAAUGACGAGAUGUUGCAGAGCAUUGCAUGUUUGUCCGAGUUGAGGACGCUUGGCACUACAGAUAUAAGAUCAGGCCAGUCUGCAAGCUUGUGCAGUGCCAUCUCCAAGCUGUCUAAACUUCAACAUCUUUUGGUGUCCUCGAAAGGUGAUGAAGCGCUUCAGCUUUCGUCUGUUCAGCUGCCCCAAACAAUUCAGAAGCUCGAGGUUGGGGGUCUGCUGGGGCAGGCGACAGCACAUAACCUCUUCACUUCCAUCCGAUGCCUUGAGAACAUCACUCAUCUCCAUCUAUGGUUCUCAAUGAUAAAUCAAGAUCUCUUCCGCUACCUCCAAUCAGAUUGUUUGUUGUCGCUCUGUAUUCUGCAGGCGUUUCAAGGUGAGGAUAUGUCGUUCUCUGCAGGAUCAUUUCCCAAACUUCAGUCGCUUGUGGUACACGGUGCAUCACAACUCAGGCGGAUUGAGUUAGAAGAAGGCUCUAUGGUGAACCUGGUCCGCCUUACGGUAACAGGUUGUCCAACACUGAAGGAGCUGCCUCAAGGUGUUGAGUUCCUCCACAAGCUCGAAACGUUGCAGCUCGAGAUCACGGUUGAUGACUUUCUUGAGAAGAUUCAGUCAGAAGAAGAAUGGGAGGUACACCAGAGCAAGAUUAGUCACAUCAAGAAGGUUUAUGUUGGAUUUUCAGGAAAUGAAUAA
rnacentral:rRNA from 1 species